rnacentral:piRNA from 1 species
UGAGGAUGAAAUUAAGGUGCACUCAGGUU